GAUUUCUGGUUUGAUGCGUUUGGCCCUCUCGGAGCAAUCCGGCGUGCGUGCCGAUGCGCGUCUGCCAUCCCUUGCAGAGAACGUUUCUACCCUUCACUGGGCCGGAUUCGCAAUCUGCAUCUUUUACUUUGAAAAAAUUAGAGUGUUUAAAGCAGGCUUGUGCUAUGAAUACAUUAGCAUGGAAUAAUAAUUUAGGACUUCGGUCCUAUUUUGUUGGUUUCUAGGACAGAAGUAAUGAUUGAUAGGGACAGUUGGGGGUGCUAGUAUUCCGCGGCCAGAGGUGAAAUUCUUGGAUUCGCGGAAGACUAACUACUGCGAAAGCAUU
rnacentral:rRNA from 1 species